rnacentral:rRNA from 1 species
GAUGAACGCUGGCGGCGUGCUUAACACAUGCAAGUCGAACGAUGACAGCGGGAGCUUGCUCCUGCUGGAUUAGUGGCGAACGGGUGAGUAACACGUGAGCAAUCUGCCCCGAACUCUGGGAUAAGCGUUGGAAACGACGGCUAAUACCGGAUACGACGCGCGUAGGCAUCUUCUGCGCGUGGAAAGAACUCCGGUUCGGGAUGAGCUCGCGGCCUAUCAGCUAGUUGGUGAGGUAACGGCCCACAAAGGCGACGACGGGUAGCCGGCCGUAGAGGGUGACCGGCCACGAGGGGACUGAGACACGGCCCAGACUCCUACGGGAGGCAGCAGGGGGGAAUAGUGCACAAUGGGCGCAAGCCUGAUGCAGCAACGCCGCGUGAGGGACAACUGCCUUCGGGUUGUAAACCUCUUUUAGUAGGGAAGAAGCGAAAGUGACGGUACCUGCAGAAAAAGCACCAGCUAACUACGUGCCAGCCGCCGCCGUAAAAC